UGGGGAAUUUUGGACAAUGGGCGCAAGCCUGAUCCAGCAAUGCCGCGUGCAGGAUGAAGGCCUUCGGGUUGUAAACUGCUUUUGUACGGAGCGAAAAGGUCUGCCCUAAUACGGUGGGCUCAUGACGGUACCGUAAGAAUAAGCACCGGCUAACUACGUGCCAGCAGCCGCGGUAAUACGUAGGGUGCAAGCGUUAAUCGGAAUUACUGGGCGUAAAGCGUGCGCAGGCGGUUAUGCAAGACAGAGGUGAAGUCCCCGGGCUCAACCUGGGAACUGCCUUUGUGACUGCAUCGCUGGAGUGCGGCAGAGGGGGAUGGAAUUCCGCGUGUAGCAGUGAAAUGCGUAGAUAUGCGGAGGAACACCGAUGGCGAAGGCAAUCCCCUGGGCCUGCACUGACGCUCAUGCACGAAAGCGUGGGGAGCAAACA
rnacentral:rRNA from 1 species